GGAGAGGUAGCGUAGUCUGGCCUAACGCGCACGCCUGGAGAGCGUGUGUACCGCAAGGUACCGUGGGUUCGCAUCCCACCCGCUCCG
rnacentral:tRNA from 1 species